UCUUCAAAAAUUCUUUUGCAUUGCAUUGCUUUGAUCUAAAAAACGAGGAGCAUGAGAAUGCAUGCUCCUUAUUUUUCCAAAUCAGCAUUGCUAUGAUUCGUGCCGAUCAUUUCAGCAAAAUACUGCAUCAAUGAUGCAAAUCAAUCACAAUGCUUCACACUGGUUGAGUGCGCUACAUGAGCUUGCGAACACUCAUGGUAGGCCUAGCAACCAGGUCGUGUUGUUAGCGACUGAAAAUUUUCGUAAUUUUCAUUAUCACCGAAUUUGUGCCAGUUGAAAGUCGGGAAUGUUUGAGUGGUGGCGCUAUCCAGCAAAUAGAGGGCAUCAGGAAAACAUUGAGAAUUGUGGGAAUCGACGCGUUGAUGGAUCGUUUCUGCCAGCUAUCUGCUCGCUCAAUUACGGAUGUUGUUGGUCCACGUUUUUCUUCAACCUGAAGUUACCAGCCAUGCAUUUUCUCUAUGUUAGCUUUAACAAUAAAUUAGUAUCUUAAA